UUUUUUUUUUUUUUGAAUUUUCAAAUUUCCGGAUUUUUGAAUUUUCGAAUUUCCGAAAAAAUAAAAAAUAAAAAUAAUAUAUAUAUAUAUAUUUAAAAGCUUUGUUGGUGAAGCUUUGGUGUUGAAGCUUUGUAGGUGAAGUUUUGAGGUUGAAGCUUUGUUGGGCAUCAUGAAUUGAUUUUGCUUCACACUAUCUUGAUGAAGAGUGUGUGAAGCUUUUAUAUGUUUUGGUGUUGAAAUUUUGUAUUGUAGGUGAAGCUUUGGGGUUGAAGCUUGAUAGGUGAAGCUUUGGUAUUGAAGCUUUAUAGGUGAAGCUUUGGUGUUGAAGCUUUAUAAGUGAAGCUUUGGUGUUGAAGCUUUAUAAGUGAAGCUUUGGUGUUGAAGCUUUGGUGUUGAAGGGUUGAAGCUUUAUAGGUGAAGCUUUUGGUGUUAAAGCUUUAUAGGUGAAGCUUUGGGGUUGAAACUUUAUAGGUGAAGCUUUUGUUGGCACCAUAAAUUAAUUUUGCUUCACACUAUCUUGAUGAAGAUAGUGCAAAGCUUUUGAGAUUGAUAUUUGUCCUCCAUUGAUGAAGCUUUUGUUGGCACCAUAAAUUGAUUUUGCUUCACACUAUCUUGAUGAAGAUAGUGCAAAGCUUUUGAGAUUGAUAUUUGUCCUCCAUUGAUGAAGCUUUUGUUGGCACCAUAAAUUGAUUUUGCUUCACACUAUCUUGAUGAAGAUAGUGCGAAGCUUUUGAGGAUUGUAGUUGUGUUCCAUUGAUGAAGCUUUGUUGAAUUUCCCAAUUUCCAAUUUCCUCUUUUUUUGUUUUUUGUUUUUUGUUUUUUUUUUGUUUUUUUUUGUUUUGAUUUUUUGUUUUUUUUUUGUUUUUUUGUUUUUUUGUUUUUUUUUUGGGAAAACUAGAAAUUUGAAAAUGUGGGAGAGACAACGUAUACAAAUUUUGCUUCCAUACUGUUAAGCGAGAGAUUGUGAUGCAAGCCACAUCUUGUAGUAGUCGAAGGUUUGGAUGAACCAUAUAAAUUGAAUUUGCUUCGAACAGUCUUGAUCAAGAGCGUUUGAAGCGUUUUAUGAGUUGUAAUGUUUGCAUUGUUACAGAGGAGAAAUGUCUGAAGCAGAAGCAAGAGGGCUGAAGAGCUUGAUCUUCGUAUACCAUGCACUGAAGCCAUUGUUGGCUUGCAAUAAGACUUUGUUGGUGACUAUAACUCUUGUUAGGCAUAAGUGCUCCCCUAGUUGAGUUGUAAAGCUUGAUGGUUUUUUAUUAUUUGUGAAUGCUAGGAGUUCACAUGUACAAGUUGUACCACUCGUCUUCUGGUUAGUGGAAUGAAUGGUGGGUUGCUUUCAUCACUUGGUUGGUGGUACGAAUGUGAAUUCCUUAAUCACCUUUCAUCACAUUUCAUCACCUGGUUGGUGACAUGAAGGAGAGUACGCGUUGUACAUUUCAUCACCUGGUUGGUGGCAUGAAGGAAAGUACGCGUUGUACAUUUCAUCACCUGGUUGGUGGCAUGAAGAUGAGUUCCUUCUUCACCUGAUUGGUGAUAAGGGUGGCAAGUUUCCAAAUAAUAUUAGAGUACUGGUUGUACAUUUCAUCACCUAGUUGGUGGUACGAAGGUGAGUUCCUUCAUCACCUAGUUGGUGAGAAUAAGGGCAAGGUGUCGAGGAACAUUGUGGCAAAUGUCGAAUGACACAAAGUGUGUUGAACCCUUUCGAAGCACAGUUGGCUUAUGUAUGGAUGUGUUGGAAUGUAUGAUGUUUAUGCAUGAAUGUGUUGGAAUGUAUGAUGUUUAUGUAUAAAUGUAUUGGAAUGUAUGAUGUUUAUGUAUGAAUGUGUUGGAAUGUAUGAUGUUUAUGUAUGAAUGUGUUGGAAUGUAUGAUGUAGAUCCUUUGUAUAGUCUUGUUGACACAUACUUAGAUUUUAUUUUGUAUUGGAAACAUUUGCGUUGAAGCUUCAACACUUGAGUGUUUCAUUGCUCAGAAUGUAAAAGAGUUUAUGGCCGAGUUGGCUAAAUCACCUCUUUAUUGAAUUCAUACCAAAUGGUCUUUGUUACAUAGGAUGCCGAACGGCUGUAGCUUAACACUUGUACAAUGUGAGUCUAUUUGUAAUAGUACUUCAAGUGGUCAGCAUUCCAUGGAUGGCCAAGGGUCUUGCCGUCGGAGUUUCUGAGCUUGUAGGAGCCAGGGCGGCUGAUGCCGACGACCUCGAACGGUCCGUCCCAGUUAGGACUGGGUGUUCCUUCACUCGGGACCCUAUCACAGAGUAAUCUUUUCUUCAGUACCCAGUCUCCCACUUUGAAAGAGCGAGGUUUGACCCUUGAGUCGUAGUAGUUGGAAAUGCGCUGCUUGUAGGCGACAUUCCUCAGGUGAGCUUGAUUUCUGUGUUCCUCGACUAGAUCCAGGUUGAGGGUGAGUUGUUUGUCGUUCUCACUCUGCAUGUAAUUCUGGAUUCGGUAUGUUGCUUGCUCAAGCUCAACCGGGACAACUGCUUCUGUACCAAAAGCAAGUGAGAAUGGAGUUUCUCCUGUGGAAGUCCGAUAUGAAGUGCGGUAUGACCAAAGAACUUGGGGUACGAAUUCUGGCCAACAACCUUUAGCUUUGUCCAAGCUAGUUUUCAGAGUGCGCUUGAUUAUUUUGUUAACGGCCUCGACUUGUCCAUUAGACUGGGGAUGGGCUGGAGAGGCAAAACAUAAGUUGAUGUUGAACUUAGAGCAGAACAUUUUGAACUUCUUGUUGUCGAACUGCCGCCCAUUGUCCGUGACUAUCGCAUUGGGAAUGCCGAAUCUACAGAGGAUGUUCUUCCAUACGAAGUCUUCUAUUUUUCCCUCAGUAAUGGUUGCCAAGGGUUCUACUUCAGCCCACUUUGUGAAGUAGUCAACUGCAACGAUUGCAUAGCGGACCUUGCCCUUCCCUGCAGGCAUUGGGCCGAUCAAAUCAAGUCCCCAUUGGGCGAAGGGCCAAGGGCUGAUCAUAGGAGUGAGCGACUCAGAAUGGGAGUGAGGGAUAAUUGCGUAGCGUUGACACUUAUCACAUGAGCGAGAUAUUCUGAUGGCAUCUUGGUGGAGUGUUGCCCAAUAGUAUCCUUAGCGAAAAGUCUUGUGUGCUAGGGAUCGAGACCCAGCAUGAUCUCCGCAGACUCCUUCAUGUAUUUCCCGAAGGACAAUUUCUGCCUCCGCAGGUGUAAGGCAUCUUAGAUAGGGCAGGGUAAAACCGCGCUUGUAGAGUUGGUCAUUAAUGAUCAGGUAGCGAGCAGACUUGUAUCGAAUCUGCUUAGCUUGGACUUUGUCAUUUGGGAGGGUGCCAUGGGCAAGGAAUUUAUAAAUUUGGGUGAUCCAACUAUCUCCUUGUUGUAAAUUGCACACUUCCGCGACCAUGGUGCUGGGUGCUGCCAACAAUUCGACAUGAAUUUUUCUCCCAAUCUUGUCUUCCACUGCCGAGGCGAGGCGGGCCAAAGCGUCUGCAUGACUGUUUGUUGCUCGAGGAACUUGGGUGAUCUGGUAGUGGAAGUGCUUGAGCAAAAGUCAUGUUUGCGCAAGAUAUGCUGCCAUGGAGCUAUCCUUAGCAUCAAUUUGUUUAACUCCAAGAUGUUUGGCCAAACGUAAGCCUGCUAGAAGGGCUUCGUAUUCGGCCUCGUUGUUCGAUGCCUUGAAUUUGAAACGAAUAGCGUAUUCUAUCGCCACUUUGUCAGGGGUAGUGAGGACUAAUCCUGCUCCGCAACCCUGUUGGUUGGAUGAGCCAUCAACAUACAGACUCCAUGCUGGGGUUGUUGAUUCUAUCUUCUGAGCUUCCGAUGGUAAUGAAGCUAUUGCUUCAGGUGUAGAAGCAAUGUCAACAGGAUAUGUGAAGUCGGCGAUGAAAUCUGCUACUGCUUGACCCUUUUCGGCUGGUUUUGGUUGGUAGGAGAUGUCAAACUCACCCAAUGCUAUCGCCCAUUUGAUCAUUCGCCCAGACGUGUCAGGACUCUGGAGUAUCUGUCGAAGAGGGUGAUUGGUAAGCACGAUGAUGGCGUGUGCUUGGAAAUAAGGGCGAAGUUUUCGAGCAGACAUGACCAAUGCUAGAGCUAAUUUCUCAAUGUUGGAGUAUCGUGUUUCCGCAUCUUGUAGGGCCUUGCUAGCAUAGUAGACGAGCCGUUCAACACCACUGUCAUUUCGAAUAAGAACAGAACUGACUGCUGAAGCCGAAACCGAUAGAUAGAUAAUGAGAGUGUCACCAACUUCUGGUUUGGAGAGCAGAGAGGCUUUACUCAUGUACUCUUUGAGGUUCCUGAAUGCCUUGGCACAUUCCUCCGUCCAUGUAAUGUACUUCUUAUUUCCCUUGAGUGAUUUAAAGAAAUGAGCACAUCUGUCUGUGGCCUUAGAGAUGAAUCUGGUUAAGGCUGCCACCUUGCCAGUAAGGCUUUGGAUGUCUUUUGAAGUUACUGGCUCUUUCAUGUCAAGGAUUGCUUUGAUCUUUUCGGGGUUAGCUUCAAUGCCUCAUUGGCUAAUCAUGAAGCCUAAGAAUUUUCCAGAGCCCACGCCGAAGGCACAUUUGUUGGGGUUCAACCUCAUUCGAUACCUCUUUAGAAUGGUGAAAGUUUCAGAUAGGUUGGUGAUGUGUUGGUCAGCAUGUUUGCUCUUGACUAACAUAUCAUCAACGUAAACUUCCAUGCUCUUCCCAAUCUGUUCGGCGAACAUUGAAUUGACCAGUCUCUAAUAAGUUGCUCCUGCAUUCUUUAGACCGAAGGGCAUGAAUUUGUAGCAAUAUAGUCCCCUGUCAGUAGUGAAGGCUGUGUGUUCUUGGUCUGAGGGGUUCAUGAGGAUUUGGUUGUAUCCUGAAUAAGCGUCCAUGAAGCUCAAGAGUUCACACCCUGCCGUAGAGUCUAUAAGUCUAUCAAUGAGAGGAAGGGGGAAACUAUCAUUCGGGCAUCCUUUGUUUAGGUCGGUGUAGUCGACACACAUUCUCCACAAGACCUUUUGAACAGGAGACUUUCCUUGGUCGGAUUUUUCUUAACAAGGACAACACUUGCUACCCAUGUUGGGUAAUUGACUUCACGGACGAAGCCUAUGUCCUUGAGUUUUUCAACUUUUGCUUUCAUCACCUCGUAUCGUUCAACAUCAUAAGAUCUUCGCUUCUGUUUUACUGGUUUGGUCUUGGGAUCAAUACUCAAGUGGUGACAAAUGAUAUCGGGAGAGAUGCCCAGCAUAUCUUUAUAUGACCAAGCGAAGACUUCGGCGUUCUCUUGCAAAAAGGAGAUCAGCGACAACCGAAGGGGUGGUGACAAAGUGGUGCCAAUCUUCACCAUGCGAUCUGGAUGGUCUUUGGAGAUAGAGAUAUUCUCUAACUCUUCAGCGGGUUGUGCUUGCUGGGUGAAUGAGUCAUCUCGAGGGUCGUCGGGUUGACUGUUGCCAUCAUGAAGAUCCGAGUUGGCUUCAUCUGGACUGGUCUUUACUACCUGGUUAUGUAUAAAGAGGGUCUCUUUGGGGACAGGCAGGUGUUGUUGCUUAACUGAAGUGUUGUAACAUGAUCGAACACUAAGUUGAUCUCCCCUGAUGUAUCCAUUGCCGAAAGGGGUUGGAAACUUCAUCAACAACAUAUGUGUGGAUACCAUGGCCUUGAGAUCAUUGAUGCCUGUGCGCCCAAAGAUGACAUUGUAUGCCGUCGGGCAAUUGACCACUAGGAAGUUAGUGGUAAUAGUAGCUGUGUAGGGGCCUGUACCAAUGGUGAAGGGUAAGUGUAUACUCCCUAAAGGUUGCACGAUAUCGCCAGAGAAGCUUAUCAGAGGAGAAAUCGAGCUAUCGAGCAAGUGUUCAGCUACAUUAAGUGCCUUGAAAGCUUCAGCAAACAUGAUAUUGACUGAAGCACCUGUGUCUAUCAGGAUUCGUUUCACAUCAAAAUUUGCUAUGUGAGCCUCCACGAUCAGCGGGUCGUUGUGAGGGUAGAUGAUACCUCUUUUCUUCCUCAGGGGUAGAAACAUAUUGGAUCCCAGUUAGGCUUUUGAUACUUGCCUCCCCUGAUGUCUUCCACGUGAAACACUUGAUGGCCAGGUCUCAAAGUUCGUUCACUGUUUUUCAUGGCCCUAUUGGAAGAUUCAGACAUAGAUGUGUCGCCGUUUAUAGAAUAUAUCACAUUCACCUGGCGUUGGUUACGGUUAUCCCUUGGAGGGUGAAGGAGGAACUGAUCAAUUUUUUCCUUCACGUGCCAAAGCUUCAAUAUGAUCACGGAGGAUGACGCACUCCUCGCCAUCAUGGCCAUUAUACUCGUGGUAGCAGCAAAACAUGCCCGUGUUUUUCGUGGACUUGUAAUCUGGCUAUCUUGGCUUUGGCUUUGGUAUCAGAUGAGUUAUACUGAGGUAGAUGGCUGCGCAUGUAGCGUUCAAAGGUGUGUAUGUCUCAUACCUCGGGGUAGGGCCUGUCUUGACACGUGAUUGGCCCACUGCAUUGACUGCCUGGGGACGGGCGUUAUUGUGACGAUAUCCUGAGUUAUCGCGAUAGUGCCCCUUAUUCUUUUUAUUAAAAUGAGAUUGGUGAGGAUGAAAAUCUUUCCUUUUGCCCUGGGAUUGAUAUGUCUGCUGACUUGGCGAAGCAUUAAAUGAGGCAGGGGGGUGUGCUGCUACCGUUUGGAAGGUUGAGGUCUUCUCAUUCGGUUGGAUCUGGCCUCCACUCCCUACUUGCUGAUAAGGGGUGACUGUAGGGGGUUUCCCUUGAUAUGUCCUUGCCUCGACGGAGGCAUGGUUGUAAGCUUGUGCCAUCACCUCAGAGUAAGUCUUCCAAGUGUUGGCAUUGAUCAUGUACUUGAAGAAACAGUCACGUAAGCCUGCCGUGAAGGCCUUGAGGGCGGUCUUGUCAUCUGCCUCAGCGCAACGAGAAUACUCAUGGCUGAAGCGGCCAGCAUACUUUCGUAAUGACUCGUCCAGCAUCUGGCGAAUAGUGUACAAGUCAUAUGCGGAAUGCAAGUGAUCGGUCUGGAAGAUGUGUUGAGAGACAAACAGCUUCCUCAACUCUUCAAAUGAGUCUACUGUCUCAGGCGGAAGACGACAAUACCAGUUUAAAGCUCUGCCAGAGAGGGUGGAGGGGAAGAGAAGGCACCGUUCUUCAUCGGUGUGUCUCCGGUAUACCAUGGUGGACUCAAAGAGGUUAAGGUGUUCAAUCGGGUCUUCCCUUCCAAUAUAGAGUUGUAAGUCAAGCUUCUGCUUUGUCUUCGCUUGGAGGGGGGUGUUGAGGAUCCUUCUUGUGAGGGGGCCAGGCCUGGGUUGGUUCCAGUCAGGUAUCUCGGCUUGACGUUCAGCCUUCAACUUGUUUACUUCCUCCAGGAGCUGUAAGACGAGGGGGGUCCUGAGUGGAGUCGUGCAUCACUGAAGUUUUCUUCCGUAAGUCCCCAUCGCCUCUUGGAAGUAGGAAAGUUUGAUCAAGAUAGCAUGAUUUUUCCUUGGACUCGUCACACUGACUCCUAGAGUGAGUAUGUCGGAACAUUUCCGAGUCCCCUGUACCUUCAUGUUUUUCUGGGACUUGUUGCCCAUUCCCUAGAUUAACUGCUGGCCUGGGUCGUGGGAGAUGACCGAGUCUUUCAGAAACUCUUGGGUCAUUGAUCUUCGAGCUUAUGUGGAUGGGAUUCUCCCGACGUUGCUUUAGGAAGUCUCGACAAUCACGAUAGACGGCUUUUGAUCCUUCCACUCCUUAUGUGAGGAGGUGAUUUCCUCUACUCCUUCUGCUUCGGGUUGAAGCAGCUGGGUUGAGAGAAGUCUCAUGUUGAUUAUCACAUUGAUGUGUAGCUCGAUCCCUAUCAGGGAUGUCCAUGUUGGAUAUCGGUGACCCUCCGUGUUGGGGGGCAUUCAGAUGAUUGUUGACCUCAGCAGGGGCGACGAGCUUGUGUGCUUGAGCAUGCCUAGCCUCGUGAAGCAUCUCGAAAAGUUUUUCAUACUGCUCCUGGAGGACCUCGUUCCUUAUCACUAUCUUGUUGUUCUGAGCUUCUAACUCAUCGACUUUAGCUUGAAGAGUAACUCUAUUUCCUUCCUGCCUUCGUUGCUUCAUACUAGGUCCAAUGGGGGUGUCAUUCUGUGUGCUAUGGCUUCUUUCGCUCCCCAUGUUGGAGAGAGAUGUUUGGCCAAAAGAAAGUGUACGAGUGGUGGAAACCAGCUUGACAAAGCUGAAGAGAGUGGGAAUAAGUAUCGAUUUCCCACAGACGGCGCCAAAUGUUGAUGCACAAAAUCAGCGAGGACUUUGGUACAACAGAAAGUGUCAGGUUUGUGACCUUCGCUUGGUUGCUUCGAUCACUAGUGAAGAUAAGUACGUAAAUGAAUAGGGACAGGGAAGCAAACACAAGAUGUACGUGGUUCACCCAGAUCGGCUACGUCCACGGAGUAGAGGAGUUCUCAUUAAUUGUGAAGGGUUUACACAAAUACAUAGGUUCAAGCUCUCAUUUUGUGAGUUCUAGUGAAUAGUUUAGUACAAAAUGACAUUAGAGAUUAUUGUGGGAGAAUGAUCCCUAUUUAUAGAAGAGAGUUUCUAGUUUUGUUCUAACAUUGACACGUGUCGUGUUGUGAUUGGCUUCUGAUGUUGACACGUGUCGAGCUGUGAUUGACUUCUGAUGUCGACAAGUGUCGCAUUGUGAUUGGCCUCCUGGUUGAAGGGAAGCUCUUCUGGGUCCUUGACGGUAUAACGUUGACCGGUGCUCAGUAGUUUCGGGAUUUGUCAAGUAUGGUACAAACAUAAGCCUUAACUUCCUUGUCUUUUCAUAUAUCUCACUUUAAGUUGUAAGCUUAUAAAUACAUGUAUUUGUAAUGCAAAAAAAGGUAAGAAGUUAUUUGAAUUAUUAUAUUGGAAUUUGAUCAUAAACUUGUUUUUUUAAGUGUCUUGCUCUUGUUUAAGAGUUUGUUGUUUUGUUCUUUUAGUUGUCUACGUCGUAGACUGGUACUAGAAGUAAAUUUGGGAUUUCAGGUCUCUCCUUGCACUUAGAGAUAGUGAAUCCUACCUAUCUGUACUAUCUAUUCGUACAUAUUUUCCACCAUGCUGCACCUUGCAUCAAGUUACAUAGAGAAGCCCCUUAGGCAAGAAAGAUUACAGAAAUCCCAAAAUUGAAUAGAACGAGCCUCAAUGGUGAUUAAAUGACACCAAGUGCAUUGGUCAAAAGACAAAUGACCAAUCCCUAUCAAAGCAUCAGUAACAAAAUUGACUCCACGGUAAAUGUGACGAAAGGACACCUCAAGAAAAUAACAAGCAAUCCCCUGAAUGUGAAUAGAUGCCAGGGGGUAGGGAUAGAUGCCAAAGGAAGGUUUUAGUUGCUUGCAACGGAAAUUAUUCCUUAUUUAUUUUAUUAUAUGGAAUUCAGCCUAUGCACUCAACUCUGAAGUUUGCAACGCAAGCAGCCAUGCACGGCUCUAGCUGGCCUCGAGUUGAUAGCAAACAUCCCCUUAAGAAAACACAUAAGAAAAUAAAAUUAAAAUAAACAAAAUGUUACCAAAAAUACAUAAAGUGGUGCACGAUUGACUAAAUAAUUCUUUGUUGCUCAUUGAAUUUUAUUAUUUUACGCAUUAAAACCGAAAGAUGAUGACUUAUUUAUUCCUGUCAAAGAGUACAAAAAUACUAAUCUAAUUCUCACACGCAAACCAAAUUAUAAAUGUAACAUUAAGGGGGCGUUUGUUUACCUUCACUAAUCCUCAUUGGACUAGACUGGACUAACUAUUAGUCUAAUCAUAUGUUUGUUGUUUCAAGGGACUAAUAUUAAUGAGACUAGCUGGGAUUAGCCUAGACUAAGGACAUCGCUAGAGUUUCUUAGCGAGAGUCCCCGGAAACCAUGGGACUAGCUAAGACCCCUCUUUGGUCUCUAUCUCACGAGACAAUAACCACAUCGUUCCCGCUCUCCCUCUUACACCAUCAGAUGACCACCACUCUCUCCCUCCUCGUCUUGAACCCACAAUCAUGAGACCUUAGAUUCGCCCAUCCCUAAGAUGCUUUAUCACCGAGCUCGUUGUCGAGAGGCAACACUUCUCUACUUAGUUCCUCGGCUUCAUCAACUCCUAACUCGCUCUCCCAAAACCAUUUUCAAACACAGAUCUAACGGACCUGCAACUCUUCGCCAGACAACUUUUGAAUUCGAUCUCUCCUCAUUCGAUUCGUUGUGGGUAUUUUGGUCCUUCACUCAUAACUCCACCAAUCUGCUCCUGGAGAAGAAUCAGUUGCCGCCAUGUUUCUGCUGGACUGCUUCUACGGGUUGUGGUGGAAGGAGGCCAAGAUUCUAUUUCUAGGUUUGGAUGGCGAUUGGAAUGAUCUUGGGACUAGGUUGCUUUGGACGGAGAAAAAAGAUGGGGAGGGAGAGAAUAGAAAAAUGGAGAAUUGUUAUGAAAAAAAGAAUGGAGUAUACUAAUAAUAUAAUAUUAAUAUAUAUAGAUUAAAUAAUAUAAUAUUAGGAUUUGUUAAUUAUUUUGCUUUUUAGUCCGACACUACACCAAACGCUUCACUAAGUCAGUUCAGCUUAGUCUAGUUUAAGCCAGUCCAGCUUAUUCCCUGAACCUAAUUCAGUCCAAGAUAGUCCGAUGC
rnacentral:lncRNA from 1 species